AUCACCAGUACAUACUCUCUGUGUGGCCCAGUCCAACUUCUGUCCUGUGAGCUAUGCUCUACCACCUAGUGCCCAGGCAAACCCCACAUUUUAAAAUGCAAAGGAAUAACCAUUGCAUGGUAAACCUAGUGGGAAGGAACAAGACACAGCACAGGAACAGAUGUGCAUCCACAGGAGCAAUUUUUACUGAAUUGACCAAGAAGGGUCUUCUUCUGUUGCCCAGGCUGGAAUGCAGUUUUGGUGACACAAUCUCUGCUCACCGAAACCCCCGCCUCCCAUGCUCAAGCAAUUCUCUCACCUCAGCCUCCAGAGUAGCUGGGACUACAGGUGUACACCACCAUACCAGCUACUUUUUUUUAUUUUUUGUAGAGACAAGGUUUCACUAUGUUGCCCAAGCUGGUCACAAACUCCUGAGCUCAAGCAUUCUGCCCACCUUGGCCUUGCAAAGUGCUAGGAUUACAGACUUACAGAGGAAAACAUUGAAGACUUGAGAGAUGAAAUGAUUCGCCUAAGGUCACAUUAUGAGUGAAUAUAUGAAUCAAGACCGAAUCCAGGGCUUCCUCUGAAGCCCUUGUGCUUAAUGACCCUGCAAUACCAUGUACCUGCUUCUCCAAAGGAUUUCAGCUACUUGAGAACUGGGACCAGGUCUGUUCUUCCAAAUAUCCCCCUGCCUAGCACAUUGCUUGGUACAUAACUGGAACUCAGUAACGUUUUGUUGAACAAAUGAAUGAAUAAAUGAAUGCAUGAAUAAGAUACAGUCAGAGCUAAAUAAAUGAGCCAAGCUGCUUUCAUUUACUGGAAGCCUGAUUAAGGACAGAGUCUCAUUGUUAGUUUAAGAUGCUGGGCUGCCAGUUUAGUUGAGCCAUUCAACAGUCUUAAUUUUAGUUAUAUUCUCUGGUAACACUCCACACUCAUUGGUUCUCAUGGUUAUUAUUGUACAACAUGCUGCUACUUCUUUGCUGAUCUGUGACAUGAAGAAUGAUUUUAAGUAUACCCCCUGGGGCAGAGGUGGCACUUUGUAAUUCUAGAUGAAAUUACCCUACUAAACUCUCUAUGGAAGCUUAUUGUAGGGGAAAGACACACAGUAUACCAAAGAACUAAAUACAAAGUGUAUUUAGGUAGAAUAUUCUCUGAUUUUAUAAAGGGGACCAAAAGCAUUAGCAAUGCUUUUAUGAUAGGUAUUUAAGAGGUUGUUAGCACCAAUAACAAUAAUAACAAUAAUAAUACCUUACUUUUUAUUCUAUAGCAUUUUUGAGGGCACAGGUCUUUAUAACUCUGAAUAGAAAUCUAUGUAUUCAGCAUUGCAGGAACUGAUCUUAGAUGCCACCUUAUUCUGUCUUCCCUCAUGACAAAAUGCUGAUUUUGGAGGGGCAGGUGCUUCCUUUGUAGUUAACUGGUCAUGUAACUAAGUGCCAGCCAAUUGGAUGCAAGUCUAAGGUAUUGAGUAAAAUUUGUGGCAAAACCCCUUAAGUUGGGAAAUAAAAUUUAACAACCGUUUAUAAUUUUUAAAAAAACCUACCAAGCAAGGAAUAGAAGAUAAUUUUUUUGAUCUGAUGAAAGGAAAUAAAAAACCACUAGCUAACAACAUAUGGUGAAACACUGAUCCUUUCUCCCUAACAUCAUGAAGAUGACUAGGUUGUCCUCUCCUACUACAUUUAUUUAAAAGAGUACUAGACACCCAAGCCAGUGCAAUAAGGUCAGAAAUAAUAAAGAGGAAGCAUAGACGUUGGAGAAAAAGAAGUUGUUAUUCACAGAUGACAUGAUCAUAUACACAGAAAAUUCUAAGGAAUCUAUAAAAAUCACACUAGAACUAAAGAGAAAAUUAAUAUAAAGUUUGAAGGAUACAAAGUGAGUAUGUAAAAUCAAUUGUAUUUCUACAUGUUAUCCAAAAGGAAUUUGAAAAUAAAAAAUUUUAAAUGUCCCUAGAAAUAAGUAAAACAAAACAUAUGCAAGAUAUCUACCCUGAAAAUGAUAGAACUUUGUGCUGAGACAUUAAACAAGAUCUGAAUGAACGAAGAUAUAUGUCAUGUAAAAUGACUGGAAAAUUCAAUACGUGUCAGAUGUUUAAUAUCCCCACAAAUUGAUCAAUGGUUUCAAUGUUGUCUCAAUAAAAAUCUCGGCAUAUUUUUUUGAAGAAAUUGACAAGUUGAUUCUAAAAUUUAUAUGGAAAUGUCAAGGAUCUAGGAUAAACAAAAUGAAAGGACAAAGUUGGAGGACUUAUGCUCCUGAUUUCAAGACUGUCUAUAAAGCUACAGUAAGGGAGGUAGUGGGGCAUUAGUGGUCACAUGGUUAUAUUCAAUGGAUCAAUGAAACAGAAUAGUGUCCAGAAUUAGACUCACACAUAUGGUCAAUUGCUUGUCAACAAAGACAUUAAGAUAACUCAAUGUGGAAAGGAAAAUCUUGUCUAACAAAUAGUGCUUGAACAACUAGAUAUCUCUAUGGAAACAAAAAAAUCAACCUAGACAUUUUUUUCUCAUUCCAAAUACAAAAACUAAUUUGAGAUCAGAAGCCUAAAUGUAAUCACAUUAACCACAAAGCUUCUAGAAGAAAAUAUAGGUGGAGUCUUUGUGACCUUUACAGUAAGCAAAAAUUUAAUAGAACAUAAAAAAACACUAUAAAAUUAAAAAUUAAUAAGUUGGACUUCAUCAAAAUUAAAAACUUUUGCUUGACCAAAGGCAUUAUAGAAAAAUUAAAAUACAAGCCGUAAAGUGGGAGAUAAUAUUUUUGACAAAUACAUAUAUGUAUAUUUUUGGCAAAAUGUAUUUGACAAAAAACUUGUAUCCAGCAUAUAUAAAGUACUCUUAAUGCACAAUGUUGGAAAGAUAGUCUAAUCUUAGAUUUCAAACGAAGCUUCACAAACUAAAUAGGAAUGGCAAAUAAACACAGGAAAAGGUGCUCGACAUCAUUCAUCAUUAAGGAGAUGCAAAUUAAAGCUACAAUGAGAUACUACUGCACACCUAUUAGAACGUCUAAAAUUAAAAAAACUGACAACAUCAAGUGUCAGUAAGGAUGAAGAAUAUCUGGAACCUUGUCAUACUGCUGAUGGAAAUGCAAAAUGUACAUUCGCUUUGGAAAACAAUUUGGUAGUUUCUUUAAAAAUUAUACAGUUCAGCAAUUCCAGUUUAGGUGUCUAUUGUGAAGAGAAGUAAAAGCAUACAUCCAUUCAAAGACUUCAGUGCAAGUGCUCACAGCAGCCUUUUCAUAAUAGCCCCCUAAAAUAGAAACAACUCAAAUGUUCUCCAAUGAAAGAAUGAGUAAACAAAAUAUAGUAAAUAAAUACAAUGGAUUGUUAACUGAAACGAAAAGAAGCAAACUCCUGAUACAUACAAAGUCAUAGGUAAAUCUUGAAAACAUUAUGUUGAACCAAAGAAGCCAAACACAGAGGGCAUAUACUACAUUACAUAUUUAUAUAAAAUUCAGGAAUAGGUAAAACCAAUAUAAAUUAUCGACUUCGGAAAGCGGUUGCCUUUGAAGUGGUAGAACUGACUGUAAUGGGAAAUUUCUGAGGUGAUGAAAAUAUUCUGCAUCAUGUUUUGGAUACUGAUUGCAAUGGUAUAUUUAACCAUCAAAACACAUCAAACUAAACAUUUUCCAUCUGUGCAUUUUAGGCAUGUCAACUAUACGUCACAAGGAAUUGUGAGGAGUAGGCAGACAGUGUACUUAUUGCCCCUAUUUUCCUCCUUUCCUCCUGACUGAAAUGAAGAAGUGAUGAUUAGUACCCCAGCACCAUUCUUGGACCAUGAAGAUAAAAUCCAAGUGUCAAUAAUGGUGAAACAGAGAGCAGAAAAAGGCCUGGAUUCCUCAUGUUUUUGAAUCUGCCAUACAUCCCUGAAUGGCCUUCCUCUGGUCCUUAUAUAAAAAAACAGAAGAAAAUAUUGGCUGGGCAUAGUGGCUCAUGCCUGUAAUCCCAGCACUUUGGGAAGCUGAGGCAGGUGGAUCACUUGAGGUCAGGAGUUUGAGAACAGCCUGGCCAACAUAGUGAAACCCAGUCACUACUAAGACUACAAAAAAUUAGCCGGGUGUGGUGGCAGGCGCCUGUAAUCUCAGUUACUCAGGAGGCUGAUGCAGAAAAAUUGCUUGAACCCAGGAGGCAGAAAUUGCAGUGAGCUGAGAUCAUGCCACUGCACUCCAGCCUGGGUGACAGAGUAAAACUCCAUCUCAAAAACAAACAAACAAACAAACAAACAAACAAAAAACCUCCCUUUUUAAGCCACCAUCACAGAUAUUUAAAACCAAACACAAUUUUUAAGUGUUACAAUCAUUGAAAAGUUCCUUUUAUGGUUAAAUUAUUUUUGAUUAUGUUAGAUUGUAGUUGGGGGCUACAUUGAGAUUUUUUUAAAUGGUAUAAUAAAAGCUAUUUAUCUUUUAUAGAGAUUGAUGCUUUUGGUGUAUAAAAGUA